rnacentral:lncRNA from 1 species
UCUCAAUCCGAGUGGGACUCUCCUCCAGAAUCUCAGUCCCAGUAGGACUCCUCACAUAGUCACAAUCCAAUUGGACUCUUUAGCCAUCAGAUCUGACCAAAUCUUCUAAUGCGUGUGACCUCAUAGGUUUGAACUUAAGUCAGUAGCAUAGGAAUAACUUUCUAUACCAAUUUAUGUAACCAUCUAGCAAUCAUGACCCA